AUUCCGGUUGAUCCUGCCGGAGGGUACUGCUAUUCGGAUUCGACUAAAACAUGCGAGCCGAGAGUCUUAGGGACUCGGCGUACUGCUCAGUAAUAUGUAGCUAACUUGCCCUAGGCUCAGGGAUAAAGUCGGGAAACUGACUCUAAUACCUGAUAGGUAUCCUGGUCUGGAAUGAUAGGAUACCCAAAGUUCAGGCGGCCUAGGAUAGGACUACAUCUUAUCAGCCUGUUGGGGGUGUAACGGACCCCCAAAGCUAUAACGGGUACGGGCCAUGAGAGUGGAAGCCCGGAGAUGGAUUCUGAGACAUGAAUCCAGGUCCUACGGGACGCAGCAGUUGCGAAACCUUUACAAUGUGUUAGCGCACGAUAAGGGAAUCCGAAGUGCUGCAGUUAAACUGCAGCUUUUGUCAAGUCCAAACAGCUUGGCGAAUAAGGGGUGGGUAAGACAGGUGCCAGCCGCCGCGGUAAUACCUGCGCCCCGAGUGGUGCCCAGUAUUAUUUGGCCUAAAGCGUCCGUAGCUGGUCUUGUAAGUCCCUAGUGAAAUUCACUGGUUAACUGGUGAGCGUGUUGGGGAUACUGCGAGACUUGGGACUGGGAGAGGGUAGAGGUACUCCUGGGGAAGGGGUAAAAUCCUAUAAUCCGAGGGGGACCACCUGUGGCGAAGGCGUCUACCUAGAACAGGUCCGACAGUGAGGGACGAAAGCUAGGGGAGCGAUCGGGAUUAGAUACCCCGGUAGUCCUAGCCGUAAACUAUGCCCACUUGGUGUUAAAAACCUUAAGAGGGUUUUUAGUGCCGUAGCGGAGGUGUUAAGUGGGCCGCCUGGGGACUACGACCGCAAGGUUAAAACUUAAGGGAAUUGGCGGGGGACCACACAAGGAGUGAAGACUGCGGUUCAAUCGGAUCCAACGCCGUGAAUCUCACGGGGAUCGACAGCAGAAUGAAGGUCAGUUUGAAGGGCUUACCUAACAAGCUGAGAAGUGUUGCAUGGCCAUCGUCAGCUCGUACCGUGAGGCGUGCGCUUAAGUGCGUUAACGAGCGAGACCCGCAUCUUAUGUUGCUAAGCCGGUGAGGCAGCACUCAUAAGAGACUGCUGGUGAUGAAUCAGAGGAGGGAGCGGGCGACGGUAGACAUCAAGACAGCUGGUCAGUAAAAAUAAAUUCAAGUAGGUCAGUAAAUUUAGUAUGCCCAAGAUUCAAUUUCGAAAUAAAGAUUUGGAGCUUUUGUUUUUUGACCUUAAAGAGAAAACUAGUGACUUUGCAAAUAUUGAACCUGAAGUGAUACAACAAGAUCCGAAAAAAUUACUAAUAAUUAGACUUGCAUUGGGAAUGUCUCAAAAUGAAUUCGAAAGGAUUGUGAGCAAAGGGAACAAAAACAUCUCAAAAUACGAGACAGGAAAAAUAAAAAGGAUGAACUACGAGACAGCGAAACGCAUGUUAGAUGGUUUGAAUUCGAAAAUCCCACAGUUUGACUUAGAUAGAAUUUUGAGCAAUUUCCAAAUUUCUAAAGACGAGUCUAAUGGUUGGUUCAAAGUCCAUACAAAAACAGAAAAGGCGCUAAAAGCACGAAGAAAAGGCGUCAUAAGAAGCCUAAGAAGUCGCCUUACAAGACAAGAAAGUAGGGUAGCUAAGGAUUUAAAAAGAGUGAAGUUGGACUUUGAGAGUAAUUUUCCAGUGACAGAAUCUACUAUAGUGGACUUUUACAUCGAAACAAAAGAUUUGGUUAUAGAAUGUAAAGAGGUAAAGUCCAAAAGCAGGAGGGAAUUCAAAGAACAAGUCCAAAAAUUGGCGUAUCAAGGCUACAAGACAAAAUUCAAAAAGCCAAAAAUGAAGCUGUGGGCCUUGAUAGAAAGUAAACACGAAAUUUCCGAAAUUGAGUUGGGAGAACUAAAAGGGCCUUUUGAUGAAGUCUUUACAAAUAGUAAAGAUUUGAUUAAGAUGCUAUCUUGAUGGCCGAUGUCGGUAUGGCCUGAAUUUCCCCGGCUACACGCGGUCUGCAAUGCGCAAGCCAAUGGGCUGCAACACCGAAAGGUGAAGCUAAUCUCUUAAACUUGCGCUCAGUUCGGAUUGAGGUUUGUAACUCAGCCUCAUGAAGCUGGAAUUCCUAGUAGACAAACGUCAUCAUCGUUCGUCGAAUACGUCCCUGGUCCUUGCACACACCGCCCGUCAAGCCAUCCGAGUGGGGUUCAAAUGAGCCGUUCUCCUCGUGUGAAUGUCGAAUUUGGGUCCUGCAAGGGGGGCUAAGUCGCAACUUCAAGAAGUCGCAAAACUUAGCUCGUGUGUUGUGUGGCGCAAGCCAUACUUUAGAUCACUGAGCCUCAAAUCGGCUUUUGGAGCGAUAAACAAGGUAGCCGUAAAGUUAACAGGAGAGAGGUUAAAUCUAUUGAAAAGUAAAAAACCUAAAGAUGACACCGGAAAUUUUCUACCUUGUUGGCGCUUUAAGAGAUGGUUGCCUAACUACCGAUUGGACUGUGAAAUACAAACAGAAAAACAGAGACUGGCUUAGUAACGUCAUAUUGCCUAUGAUAAACAGAAACUUUAAGCUGGGAUUGACCGAGAAGUGCAUAUAUCUGCAGGAAGAGAAAACGACUGUCUGGUACAUCGCUUUCAAAAAGAAGGAUGUCUGGAAGAAGUUAAGCUACCUGAGAACAGUUAGCCCAAGGACGCAAGAACAACAGAAAUUGUACAUUAGAGGAUUUUGGGACGCGGACGGCGGUUGCCCGAAAAAUCCUAGUGAAGACAGGAAAAUCUACAUAAAAUUCACCCAGAAAGACAGGCAAUCACUGGAGGAGAUAAAGGAAACUUUAAACCGUACGUUUCAGAUUAAGACCGGUGUGGUGAGAAUCUCUGAAAUUGGGAAAAAUGGCCCUAUUUGGAGAUUCACCAUAACAAGCAAGGAUGGUAUAACCAAAUUUUGCAGAAAAAUAGGGUCUUUCCAUCCUGAGAAAAAAAAUCGUUUGACGAAAAUUGAAGGUCUCCUGUUAGCUCGGCAACGGGAACGUGCGGCUGGAUCACCUCC
rnacentral:rRNA from 1 species